ACCAUCAUAUCAUGUGACGUGACUCGAGUUUUGGGAACUUCAGGCUCUGACUAUAUAUUCAUCGUGUUCAACAAUCGCAUUCGCUGUAUAUCACUAUUCUCGGGGCAGACUGUUGUCAGGAAAGGUCCAUUACCAAGUGCUGAUGAUGAGCAGGAGGAUGAAGAGGAAGACACUGAUCGCUUCAACGGCUGUAUUAUUGAUGAGACCCUUCUAGAUCUGCCCCUAUCCACUGACUGUACAGUGGUCAGCUUUGAAGGCCGAAUACACCUGGUCCUGUUUGCAAGGGUAAUUCUUACCAACAUUCAACUUGUACAAUAGAUAACAACAAAUGA